AGCAGCCGCGGUAAUUCCAGCUCCAAUAGCGUAUAUUAAAGUUGUUGCAGUUAAAAAGCUCGUAGUUGAAUUUCGGGGUUAGUAGUUUGGUCGUGCCAAUGGUAUGUACUGGGCUCACUGAUUCCUCCUUCCUGAUGAACUGUAAUGCCAUUAAUUUGGUGUUGCAGGGAAACAGGACUGUUACUUUGAAAAAAUUAGAGUGUUUAAAGCAAGCUAACGCUUGAAUACAUUAGCAUGGAAUAAUGAAAUAGGACGUUCGAACCUAUUUUGUUGGUUUCUAGGAUUGACGUAAUGAUUAAUAGGGAUAGUUGGGGGCAUUAGUAUUCAAUUGUCAGAGGUGAAAUUCUUGGAUUUAUUGAAGACUAACUACUGCGAAAGCAUUUGCCAAGGAUGUUUUCAUUAAUCAAGAACGAAAGUUAGGGGAUCGAAGACGAUCAGAUACCGUCGUAGUCUUAACCAUAAACUAUGCCGACUAGGGAUCGGAUGAUGUCAAUUU
rnacentral:misc_RNA from 1 species